rnacentral:rRNA from 1 species
GACAACUCCUACGGGAGGCAGCAGUGAGGAAUAUUGGUCAAUGGACGAGAGUCUGAACCAGCCAAGUAGCGUGCAGGACGACGGCCCUAUGGGUUGUAAACUGCUUUUAUAAGGGAAUAAAGUGAGAGUCGUGACUCUUUUUGCAUGUACCUUAUGAAUAAGGACCGGCUAAUUCCGUGC